UACGUAGGCAGCAAGCGUUGUUCGGAAUUACUGGGCGUAAAGAGUGUGUAGGCGGUGUUCUAAGUCUGUUGUGAAAUCUCCCGGCUUAACUGGGGAACUGCGUCUGAUACUGGAUGGCUUGGAUUCGGGAGAGGAAUGCGGAAUUCCAGGUGUAGCGGUGAAAUGCGUAGAUAUCUGGAGGAACACCGGUGGCGAAGGCGGCAUUCUGGACCGACAUUGACGCUGAGGAGCGAAAGCAUGGGUAGCGAACAGG
rnacentral:rRNA from 1 species